GACAGAGGGUGCAAACGUUGUUCGGAAUUACUGGGCGUAAAGCGCACGUAGGCGGACUAUUAAGUCAGGGGUGAAAUCCCGGGGCUCAACCCCGGAACUGCCUUUGAUACUGGUAGUCUCGAGUCCGGAAGAGGUGAGUGGAAUUCCGAGUGUAGAGGUGAAAUUCGUAGAUAUUCGGAGGAACACCAGUGGCGAAGGCGGCUCACUGGUCCGGUACUGACGCUGAGGUGCGAAAGCGUGGGGAGCAAACAGG
rnacentral:rRNA from 1 species